GACGAACGCUGGCGGCGUGCCUAAUACAUGCAAGUUGAGCGCUGAAGGUUGGUACUUGUACCAACUGGACGAGCAGCGAACGGGUGAGUAACGCGUGGGGAAUCUGCCUUUGAGCAGGGGACAACAUUUGGAAACGAAUGCUAAUACCGCAUAAAAACUUUAAACACAAGUUUUAAGUUUGAAAGAUGCAAUUGCAUCACUCAAAGAUGAUCCCGCGUUGUAUUAGCUAGUUGGUGAGGUAAAGGCUCACCAAGGCGAUGAUACAUAGCCGACCUGAGAGGGUGAGCGGCCACAUUGGGACUGAGACACGGCCCAAACUCCUACGGGAGGCAGCAGUAGGGAAUCUUCGGCAAUGGACGAAAGUCUGACCGAGCAACGCCGCGUGAGUGAAGAAGGUUUUCGGAUCGUAAAACUCUGUUGGUAGAGAAGAACGUUGGUGAGAGUGGAAAGCUCACCAAGUGACGGUAACUACCCAGAAAGGGACGGCUAACUACGUG
rnacentral:rRNA from 1 species